UCACACUGACGGAAAGUAACGUAAACUUUUGACGCUGCAUGCAACAGACGGACACACGGUCUCUGAGUCGCGCUUUUGUGUUAUUAAUGAAUAAAUAGUACAAUUCAACAAAAUGUGCACAAAUUCGGUAGCUAUGCGCGUCUGAGUGUGUGAAAUUGUUGAAUCAAAAGUGCUGAAAGUGUUUUGCUAAGCCCAUGCCCUGGUCCCUGCCCCCGCAGAGGAGCGCCUGAAGCGACGAUCAUUCAUUAUUGCUUCUUCUUCUUUUCGACGUGUUUCGCUUACCUGUCAAAACGCGAGUGUAUUUGUGCGCUGGCUCUCUCGAUCGCCUCUCUCUGCGUGUGUUUCUCUUUUUGCGCAUGCAAAAAGGCGGCGGCUUCAACAAAACAACAACACAACACAACCCAACCGACAACGCAAGCUUUAAAGUCGAAGUUCUUGAGCGUCGGCGUCGCCGUCAGCGGCAACAGGUUAGCCCGCACGGACAGCGCUGCAGCAGAGGCAACCGUGUACAGACGGGAAAACUUUUGAAUCGUAACAAAUUGCACAGCCAUGGACUAUAGCAGCAUACAAAAAAUAAUUUCCCUGAUUGAAAUGGAUUUAUAAAAUAUAAUUAAGUUUGUUUGGAUCUCUCACUCUUUGAAUGUUUAUCGAUCGUUAUGCUGUACAGUAAAACAUGGCAAAGUCGACACUUUAUGCUGCUGGUGUGACCUGUCUGGGCUUCGUUUGUUUCGCUUUGGCAUCUGUGGCCAUUGGAAUACCCAUCUGGGGUUACUACGAUAGUCCAUCGGGUGGCUAUGACUUUGAUCGGGGAUAUUUUGGCCCGUUUAAGGUGUGCAAGCAAUUGACUUACAAUCGCGAGAAAUGCGGCAACGAUGUAUCCAAGUUUCGGUUAAGCAAUGCCGUCUUUGUCAGUGGCCUGCUGGCCGUUGGGAGCGCAGCCUUGCUGGGCAUCUUCUGCAUUCUGUCGGUCAUUCAGCAUGCGAUGAUCUCGUCCCGGGAGAAGGUAGUGAUGCCCUACACAACGCUGGUCAUAGUGAAGCUGAUAUUCGCCCUGCUGGGAGGUGUAUUGGCCAUCAUAGCCACCAUUCUGUUUGCUCUGCAAAUUGACGAACAGGAGCGCUUCGGUUUCAAGAUAUCGCGGGGCAUUUCCUUCUACAUACAGAUCGUUGCUAUCGUGCUGUCCAUAGCCCUGUUUGUGGCGGCCCUGUACGAUGUGAUCUACUCGCGCAGCCCCGGCGGGGAUCCCACCAUGGGCAUGGACGCAGCCUCGCCGGCCAGUGCCACCACCUUCAAUAAUCCGGGCUUCAAGGAGCCGCGCAGUCGCAAUGGCGUCUCGGUGACGGAUGCCUCGGGCAAGCCGUAUAGCGGCAUCAGAAACGGGGCCGGAACUGCGGGCAGUGUCGCCUCCAUGAGCACCACGGUGACGAGCGUCUCGAAUGGCUCCACCCUAGAGUCGGUUACGCGCUCGCCGCUGCGGUCGAGCCUCAAGAAACCCCGCCCGCGGCCCGACCCGACGUUGGGCAUACAGAAUCCGGGCUAUUCCGGCUCUGGCAGCUCGCCGCCCAUGCGGCGCAACGGCAGCGUAAAGAAGGUCCGCAUUCAAACGCACAGCACCGAGGUGUAGGCUCCACAUACAUCCCGUGGAUGGGUGGAAGGGCAGCAUGAAAAAUUAAGUUCACACAAGCAAAAUAACAACAAAACAUUUACAAAGACUGUGUACAGUAGCAAAAAAAACAAAACAGAAAGAAAAAAACAAGAAAGAAAGGAGGGAAACGAGGAAAUUCUUUGAUUUCCCUGAUUAGUUAUGGAGUUAUUCCCUUUCAUUUGUCUUCCAAAAAGAUUCGCAAAUAUGCAGCAUUCGAUUUGGCACAGACACCACGACAGUUUCUUCUGUAAGCAACGGUUUCCGUCCAUGGGCAAUGGCAAGAGUAUUUAACAGAAGGCGAAGGCGAUCCCCCCAGGACUUUCUUUAUAUGCGAGUACAUAUAUAUAUUGCAACUCUCCCCACGUGCCCUUACGACCGCGCCCAGUCCCCGUCCCCCGCACUCGAAGGGACGAAAGUUUCCCCUUUGAGUGGAAUACCCAACCCUAAAGCUAAUCCAUUUGCAAUAUUCUUAUUUAACGAAUCCCCCUCCCCACACUACCUACCACAUAAGCAUUAUAAAGCAGCAUUUGUAAAAUACAUAAACAUCGGAAUGACACAAAUUGUUAUAUCUAGUUAAGUUUAAGUCACGACUAAUUGGAAAAGUUUCGAAUGCAUUCGGUAGUGCAGUUGUACACGUAUGUAUGUUAUUGUUGGCAAUACUUUCACGAUUGUUGCGACGAAAUUUCACUACUGGAGGACACUUGGAUUAAUUAAGCUAAGCUUUUGUUUGUUUAGUUCUUGGUAAUCCAAUUGGAAAAUGUGUUUCGUGUUGUUCUCUCGCAAAUUAUUUGAAUUGGUUGGGCACCCCCGAGCACAGGAAGCCAUAGAACGUCCGGAUCGGACCACAAAUAGCGAGGAAAAUUAAAUAUAU